CUCUUGCCAGCAAUGCAGAGCUUUUUGGCAUGAUGGGAGGGGGAGACAGAGCCCCCCCAAGCACAAACACUCCAAACACUCUCAAAUACAUAGCCCAUCCCUCCAAGUGCACACACAUAUACGCACCUCUCCAUCACUUCAGCCACAAAGUCACACACACAUACACUCUAACACUCAAACAGCUAUUGACUCCUCCAACCUUAAAACAAGACUUUUUUUUCCCCCUGCCAGGAUUAAAACUCUCCAGGCCAGAUAAGACUGAACAUGAAUCACUGGGACCAUGCAGAGCAUCACACACCAAGGCGAUGGACCACCUCCAUGGGUACACAGGCAAGCAGAGAUGGCAGGCUUUCAGAAACAAGAAUAAAAGAGCAUGUGAUGUCAUUCUGCUAACCUGCGUGACAAGGAGGUGGACAAUCAGUAUCAUUUAGGUUUUGUUACAUGCAUGAGCAGCAUGUAUAAAAGACAAGGCAGAGGGCAGAGAGAGACAAGCACUAUUCGUUACUGGGCUAUCAACACCUCUACCUCGCAAAUACAGUGACACCUAUGCCUGUAAACAUGAUCUUGACAAGCAACCCUGACCGGAUAUAAUUUUCUGUUAAAAAAAAUAAGCCUAUGGGGGUACCUGUGUGGGUGCCCCCUGGUCUUUGUAACCUUGGCGAGACAUUUUGGGUUUCGAUAAUAACAAUAGGUAUACAUGGCAUACAUAAAAUUACAAGUAACAGAAUUUUUAGCUGUUUUCAUUGCUCAAGUUUUGUUUUGGGGGGAGGGACAUUGAUUCAAUGUGAAAAUCCCAUAAUGAUCGAUAACCAGUUAAGUGUGGGUUGCAAAUAUGUGGUUUAAGAAAAGUAACAUUCAAAGCUCUAGAAGUAAGACACUUUGAGAAUCCACUUUAGGCUACUUACGCGGAAAUGUAUCGUAAUCUGGUGCCCAUCAGACCUAAUCUUACUGUUUGUCAUUAGUUUGGGUAUUUAUAAUAAAUAUAAGCACUUGGAAAUUCUUAGAGGACUAAUCCUGAGCUAAAAGGGACUCUGACUGAGCAGGAAGGUUUCCAAGCUUAGCUCAGGGGACGCUGUAAUGGAUUGACAGCCCCACGCCCCUGGUAAUCAGCGACCACACGCUGCGUGACUCAUAGGCAGAGCACUGCGUUCAGCACUGGACCAGAACCUACAGCAAUCGGCAACAUCACUGGCCUGUAACACAUUGUUUCUCAUUGAAGUCAGAGGAAAGCCAAGAUCUGCCCUGGAGAUUUUUCAAAGCAUGAUACCACACCGCUUUUAUGUCUGCUCUGUCUUAUUAGGGGCCUUCGAAGAGCCUGCGACUUUAGUAACGGGUGGAGACGACGUGACUGAUUUUAAUAAGCUGGACCGUAUCGGACCGUCUGCUUGGCUGAGGGUCAGCCAUACCCUGAUCAGAUUGAUCUACAGCUUAUAGAUCCAACAAGCGUAGCAGGAGCUACAACCACACAGCCCAGCAAUAAAAAAAUUAUCUCAUGAGACUCAUCGCAUGAAACUCUGUCUCAGACAUUCGUUUUAUUAUGUCAUCUGGAGCAAAAGUUCCCGGUGAACAGAUCUGUGGGGAGAAGCUAAGCUAUGCAAAACGAACAAGUGCAGCCGGUCUGGAAUACGAUUACCAGGACUUACCCCUGGAGCCAGGCCUGCUGAGCUGGUCAGCACCUGAUGGUUGGGUCACCCCUGUGAUUCAGCCAAGUCCAGCCCAAAAUAGCUUGGUGGAGCGAUCUUGUAGGCUUACCACCCGCAAGAUGAAAGACGAGGGUCGGGUUCAGUGCCAUUUGGGCGAGAGGAAUGUGCAGGAAGGACCCAGAUAGAUCAGGCUUUGGCAAUGGACACUGGCUUUGAGAACGUGGAAUGUUACCU